ACAUUCUCUCUGGAAUCUUGAACAGGAAGAUUUCUGUUGAAAAUAGAUCAAAUAAUGCAGCCAACAUUUACUAACCUCUGGCAAAAACUCUUAGUUGUAGUUGUACAUUUAGUAAAAUUCCGUUAAAAUAUAGUGAAUACAGUGAACAUAAUGGACUGAUUUAUUUCAGAAGUUUUCUUAUGCUCCAUAUUAAAAUUUCAUUUAGUGUUGAUUGUUUUAAAAAGCUACUACAGUUAUAUAUAUGUUUGUGUGUGUGUGUAUCCAUCUAUCUAUACCUAUAUAUACAUAUACACAGUGAGAUACAUAUAUAGGUGUAAAUUAUAUUAUAUUUAUCAUAUUAUAUUUAUUAUAUUACUGCGUAAGGACUAGUAAGCAUGUAUCCUUCUGUUUUUGAAUAUUUAGUUUUCUGCUGUCUUGUCAUAAAAUGGAUUUGAUGUGGUUUGGAAUGAUAAGGUGAAUGUUUGGCUAUGGCAUUUCUGUUGUGAAGAUGAAGGUUAUAAAAUUGUAGGUUUUCAAAGACCACUAUAAUCAUUUGUAGAUUAAUUAGUAUUGUAUCUCCUGGAAAACAAACUGGUCAAUAAAAAGGCUUGGGUUUGCUGAGAAGACUUCGUUGUUGUCUAUGGAAGAUAACAGAAUGAAUUAAAAUGUAUGGGGAUGGUUGAACAUUGUAUGAGGUUGCAGUGAUACUGGUUUUAUAAAAUAUAAAAUUGGUGAUUGAAAACCUUUUAGGUGUUGUGGGACUUCAGUUCCCCUCAUCUCCAGAGAGUUAGGGCAAUCGUAAGCCAUGAUGGGAAUUUUACACCCUCUGGAGCAUCGCAUAUUCCCCACUCCAGUCUAAAAGAUGUACCUAUAUUUUAUUUUACACUUUGUGGGUUAUAAUAGCUGUGGUAAAAUGUUAUUCAAGUUAUCCAUCUAGCAAAGCUAUGUCACUUCAGGAUACACAUUAGGUAAUUAUGUAAAUCAGUUGUUCACACACAUAGACCUAUUUUUAUUAUAGCAGUAACAAUCCUUGCCUAUUACGCUACUGUAUAGUAGAAAGUGUUCGCUGCUAAUAGUUGAGAAUUUUUAAAAUGAUAAAACUAAUCAAAAUUCAGAUACAGCUGUUGAGUAACAACUAUCGUUGUCUUUUGAAAUAAUAUUGACAUUAAUUUUCAUGCAUUGUCCUCUAAAGUCUGAUUAUGGGUAACUUUAUUUUUACAGAAAAGCAAGUGCCAGGAUGUGUGUAAUUAAACUUUUGUUAUACCUACAGCAUGUGACCAUAACUACUGUUCGCUUAUCUUUCAUUAUGUAUCAAAAUUAAUUUCCUAUUAUAAUUCAGCACAGCUUUGCACUCUUUAAUAUUGUAUUUAAUUAAAUGAUAUAAUUGCUUAUUUUGUUGAUAUUAGCUUGGAAUUAGCUUGGAUUGAUUUUCAUAAUAAAAUUCAGCAAAUUAUAGUUUAUUUCUUAAACAUGGGUGAAAACCAAAGAAUAAAUACAACCACAAUUAUCAUUGCAUUUAAUUUGCAGAAAUGUAAUCAUGUUCAGAUUUCUGUCAUAAAGGAAUCUUUUUCUUACUGAAUUUCUAAAGAACUGCAACACAAGCUUGUCUAGAACCUUUAGGUACUGCUAAUAGUAUUUGCUCAUACAACUUGGACAAAUAUGUUGGAAUUACAAGUCCCAUGUUAUGGUUGAGCCUUAUGGCUCCGAUACUGGGAGACGAGGUCGUAAGACUCCUCGGGAGUCAGACUCUCUUGAGGAGCGAGAAAGGAAACGGCUCCGGGACUUAUUUGCAGAACCAACAGACGAAGACUCCUUUGAGGGUUUUACCGAGAGAAUGGAGGAAGAGAUGGUUAGCUCAGAAGAGGAUGACAUGGAAUGGACUCGUGUGAGGGAGGAUUUGGGUGUCACCGGCAAUGAUAGUGUGGGAGACGAUUGGCGGGUUGCAGGAUCGGACCCGUGGACGGGCUGGAGGGAUGGAACGGGGUCCACAGCUGGGGAUGCUGUGGGGCGUAGUCAAAGGUGUUUUAGCUCUGAUGAGGAUGAUGAUGAGGAGGCACCUGGAAUUAGGAUAGCAGCUGACAGCGAUGAGGAGUUAUGAACUGGCAUAAAAUGGGGUCUAGAAUCAAUGGCUAAUUGCGUUGGGCAAGGUAAUCUGGACGAACGCUUGGGCUCUUGUUGGGAAAUUCCUGAAGACGGGUGUGAUUCGUUUGCUGAAUACCUUGGACCUCCGUUGUCUUUUUGACGGACAUUAAUUGCCUACUCUGGAUUGACGCUGGACUGACUGACUGACUACGAUCCCGGACUUCCCUUCUGUGGCUAUCGGUGGAACUUGUGAACUAAAGACAUCUGUACCUGGCUUUCAACCUCGGACCGGAUUGGGGCCCUGCUGACCGUUACUACCCUGAUUGAUGUGCCUGGAUCCGGAUUUCGCUCGUUGCACGGAGGAGUAACAACCUUAGUUACUAAAUUGUAGCUUUUGAGUAGCAGAGAGGAAUCUGCUGCCAGUUAUUUGUGUUUCAUUGAUCCUUUGUUUAUCAGCUUUUGUUUGUUUAAAUUGCCAGGCUGAAGUAAGCAUUUUUGGUUUAACCCGGAUUAAACUUCUGUUUAAUCCGGUUUAUCUUUUGAACCAUUUUUAGUACCAGCGGAGUCUUUUUUGUAUCUUUUCACAUUGAAGGCAAGUGUUUGCCUAGUCCUUUGUUUAUUACGGGCAUUUUUAGUGCUGUUACUUUAAUAAACUGUGUUGAACUUUAUUUGGUGGCGUUCUGUCUGUGACAUCCCAUGCUAUUGGACAUGUUAUAUGUAAAAUUCUGGGGCUUGUAGUCCAAAAUUAAAUUUCCAAGCUUGGGAUCUGAGGAAGAAUUUCACAAACAUAGACAAUAUGGAAAUCAAAAAGUUGUGUGGGAGUGGUGGGGGGAUUUGCAGUGACAAGCAUGCUGCUGCUGCUCAGUCGUUUAGUCGUCUCCGACUCUUCGUGACCUCAUGGACCAGUCCACGCCAGAGUUCCCUGACGGCCGUCGCUGCCCCCAGUUCCUUCAAGGUCAACCCAGUCACUUCAAGGAUACCGUCCAUCCAUCUCGCCCUUGGUCGGCCUCUCUUCCUUUUUCCUUCCAUUUUCCCCAGCAUCGUGAUCUUUUCCAAGCUUUCCUGUCUUCUCAUGAUGUGGCCAAAAUACUUCAGCUUUGCCUCUAAUAUCCUUCCCUCCAGUGAGCAGCCAUUGGGCAUUAUUUCCUGGAGGAUGGACUGGUUGGAUCUUCUUGCGGUCCAAGGCACUCUCAGGAUUUUCCUCCAGAACCAGAGUUCAAAAGCGUCUUAUCUUCCUUCACUCAGCCUUCCUUAUGGUCCAGCUCUCGCAUCCAUAGGUUACUAUGGGGAAUACCAUUGCUUUGACUAUGCAGACCUUCGUUGCCAGUGUGAUGUCUCUGUCCUUCACUAUUUUGUCAAGGUUGGCCAUUGCUCUCCUCCCAAGAAGUAAACGUCUUCUGAUUUCCUGGCUGCAGUCUGCAUCUGCAGUGAUCUUCGAGCCUAGAAAUAUAAAGUCUGUCACUGCCUCCAUGUUUUCUCCUUCUAUUUGCCAUUUGUCAAUAGGUGUAGUUGCCAUGAUCUUGGUUUUCUUGAUGUUUAACUGCAACCCAGCUUUUGCACUUCCUUCUUUCACCUUGGUGAUAAGGCUUCUCAGCUCUUCCUCACUUUCAUUCAUCAGAGUGGUAUAAUCUGCAUACGUAAGGUUGUUAAUGUUUCUUCCAGCAAUUUUAACUCCAUACUUAGAUUCCUCAAGCCCCACAUGUCACACAAUGUGUUCUGCGUACAAGUUGAAUAGGGAGGGUGAAAGUAUGCAACCCUGCCACACUCCUUUCCCAAUCUUGAACCAGUCUGUUGUUCCGUGAUCUGUUCUUACUGUGGCUACUUGGUCUUUAUACAGAUUUCUCAGGAGACAGACAAGGUGACUUGGUAUCCCCAUACCACCAAGAACAUGCCAUAAUUUAUUAUGAUCCACACAGUCGAAGGCUUUAGAAUAGUCAUGCUACCUUUAAGAAAAGCGUGUCCUCUGUUCCUGGUAGUCCUGCAACCUCACCACACUGGGGCUUUUGGGCUCUUUGCUCCUCUUCAGAUACAGGGGUUGUCGAGUGCUAUCACAUGACACUGGGCAUGGCCCUGCCCAAAUGAUUGCCAAAGGGGUGAGGAAACAUCACAAGACACUUCCUCGCCGUAAAUGAGAAAUAAGGUGUCUUUUGGGUAGUUCCAACAGAGCAACCCACAUUUUGGUUCUUUCUCCUUGUCUGUUGGGGGAAGGAGCAGUGGCUUGUUCCGAUGCCCCCAUAUAAUGGGGGAAGGAGGGAGGGUGCAUAGGUCACUGAGAAGCACCACAGGCACCUCCCAUUUUGCCAGUAAUUGCCAGAGAAAUAGAACUAAAUAAAGUCAGGGAGAUCUGUAUGAUAAGGUCCUUAAUGGCCUUUGAUUAUUUUGAGCAUCUCAUGGUUUUUACAAAUCAGGUUUUGAAACUAAUAGUGUAAGUCUCUGAAAACUAUUCUGCUAACUUCUAUAUCUCCCAGUGUGCCUUGAAUCACUUGUAAUAUAGCCUUGUUUAAAUAUCUGCCUCAUUCCAGGUCUUAACGGACAAUCUUAUAAGUUGGCUUUUGGCAAAAGAAAAGAGAAAAUGGCCAGAUCAAGGAUAUAGUUAUAUUUCUGUUACUUUGAGCAACAAUAUUCCAUUGCAUGCUAUCAAAGUAGUCACCUCUAAAAUCUGUAGCUCCUGCUACUAUUCAUGAGGUCUGCAUUCAUAUGUUGGAAAGGCACUAGCCCUGCAGAACUGUGAGGUUUCAAAGGUAAUGCACUAAAUUAUUGUGCUGCUUUACCCGUCCCCAGAGAAAAGUGCUAUUACAGGAAUUAUUAGGGCUAAUGAUCCUGAUAUUUUUCCAGUUCCCUGCAGGAGUCUGCGUCUGGGCUGAAUUAAGAAGUAAUUUGUUCAAAAAUCUUCUGUUACUGAACCUUGAUUGAUUCAGAAAAAGCUUCAGGGAAGGAAUGUUGAAUAAUGGAAGCAUGCAAUGUCUCUGAAGGGUCCAUGCAUUUGAAAUAACAGCUGAAGGGAAUAAUUCGGCAAUCAUAUGGGCCAUAUGGAGCUAACAGGUUACUUAACUCCAUAGCAUUUAUGAAUCUAUGGACCACCUGCACAUGUCUACAAUUUCUGGGUGAAUAAAUUCUGAGGUGAGCUGGAAGAAGGGAUUAAUUGUUAUUUAAAUGUAUUUUUAAUCAUUCAUGGUGGAAAAGAAAUGUUAAUUUUCUCGAUGACCUUGAGUAAUUUGGCUCAGUUUUCCAUCAUACUGAUAAGACUAAGAAGCUGUCCAGCACAGCGAGAAGAGCAAGAGCAAGUUCUGGGAAGGGUGUGCUAUUAUCAGCUUAUGUGCACAGUGUCACUUGGUAUUUCAUUAUGGCUGGUUCCGUUUUCCUUUCUACUUUGUGAGGCUUCAAAAGAACCUCAAUCUGGAGCACACACUGGUACUUGCAAUCAUUUUCCCACACAGAUAUCAGAGGCUAAGCAGAACUGUGGCUUUUGCUUGGGGUUCAGAUUGGGUUGGUAUCAGCACUGUCUUUGCUACUUAAGUCAUGGCAAUAACAGAAGUUCUGGAUGUUCAAUGUCUUGUCAAAGGCUUUCAUGGCCGGGAUCACAGGGUUGUUGUAUGUUUUCCGGGCUGUAUGGCCAUGUUCUAGAAGUAUUCUCUCCUGACAUUUCGCCCACAUCUAUGGCAGGCAUCCUCAGAGAUAACCCUCACAAACUCUGAGGAUGCCUGCCAUAGAUGUGGGCGAAACAUAAGGAGAGAAUACUUCUAGAACAUGGCCAUACAGCCCGGAAAACAUACAACAACCCUGUUCUGGAUGUUGGUUGUGUGAUGGUAUCUGGAGCCACACACAUAUAGGAAAGAAGUUAUAUGAAAAAGGAUAAAAAAACAAAUGAAAGAAGAACUAAAGCAAUGAGAUCGAGGAGAGGGAAAGGGAAAUGGAGCAAGGUUUCAUAACAAAGAUUUAAUAAAUCAUUUGAAGUUGUUCUCUCAAUAGAACGAUUUACAGCAAUUGUAUUCAAGGCACUGUCUGUGGGUGUGUGUGUAUCACAAGCAAUAGGGGAAAACUGGGUGUCCAAUCUUCUCUGUCACAUUUCUUGUGAUUCAGUAGUGAAGUGGGUCUAUCUGCUGUGGAAAGCUACUCAUAUAUGUUUCUCUGAUAGUAUGGAAUCCCAAAUCUCUAGCAUUCCCAAUCAUAUUGUGUGCAUACAUAAAUGCAAAAUAUACUCUAUUUUAUAGACAGUUACAGUGACAAUAGUAGACUAAGUACCCUUGUUCCUACUCUCCUACCUCAUAUAUUAGGUAAAAAAAUUUCUUCAUGUGAUUUAACAGUGUCAAAAUAGUUUAUAUUUAACUUGUUUUGUAUUUUGUGCACCAUCAAAUUUUGCAGAUAUAUUCAAUAGAUAAUCCAAAGAACAAAAACAGCAGUGUGGGAAGUGAAACAAAUGGGUUAUCUAUAACCCAAGGGCUUUUUUUUGGCCCCACACAACACUUGGUUUUUAUUAUCGAAUUAUCAACCCGCCUAGAAACCUGGGACACAUUUUGCAACCUUUUUUUUAUCUCAAAACUGGGGGUGACUUUUCAUUCACUGCCUGUUCAGACAAAAUACUUUCUUUGUCCCACAAUAUCCUGGGAUGUGGUAAAAAUGUCACAAAAAUGCCUUUGCAUCUCUUAUGAGGCAGAGGACCAUUUUGAGUUAAAUAAAAAAUGAUAGCAUGGGAGAGCUGCAAUUCUCUAGACAUAUGUGUGUCCCUCUGACAUAUGAUAAUUGCCCAUUUCUGAACUAGACAGUUGUAUAGGAAGUGCAAAUACAACCACAGAAGGCUUUCAUUAUCAUUUUCUCCAAGGCAAUAAAUAGAUAAUAAACACUUCUAGAGUUCCUCAAAACAUACCUCAGAAUGUUGUGCCCUUUUGCUUCAAAUGCUAUAAGUGUGUGUGGUGAAGGGGGAGAGAAUGAGAUCUAUCUUCUUUUGGGAAAAGAUUUUCUUUAAUAUCUGGAAAGCUAAAACUUUUAUGAUGUUAUUAUGAGAUGUUCACUUAUUCAUUGCUGCAGCAAAGGGCAUGUUUUCCUUUUUUGUUCAAGAGAAAAUGUAUUUCUUGGAAAGACUGAGCUCUAUCUCUGAGUAUCAAGGCUGCCUAAAUAUGGUGGCAUGUUUUCCCUUGUGGAAAUAGGAUGCAACUAAUGUAAAACAGGCUGUGAUUGUGAACUGUCUUGAGCGUCCAGGUUUGAAGCCCUUCUUGAAACAAUUUGACAGAUCCAGAAAUAACUUAAUUUUACUCAGUUCCCAUGAUAUCUGCUCAUGCAAUAGUUUGUACUUGUUUGUAUCAGUGAUUAGUGACAUUUCAAAGGGUUUUUCUGAAUUUUGUUAUUUAAGUUUUGCUGUGUUUAAUAUCUCAGAUAGAUUGGCAGGAAUUGAUGGACUGUGUGUUAUAAAGAUGUCCAUGUGAAGUUUGCAGUUUUCAGUAUUUUACAUGAGAAAAUCGAUUACUAUGAUUCUUUAGAAACCAGAGUUUCUUGAAUUUCCCAAAUAGCAUAUGUACAAAUAGUUCUUUAUGCAGUAGGCAAGGAAUGAACAAACAAGAUACAAUCUUUGUCUCUAGAUGUUUGCGUAAAGAUAUAGGACUUUAUCACAUGAGGCAGGUGAACCAGCACUGUAUGAUGUUGUGUUCAUCCUACUACCAGUAUGACUCCUCCCUAUGAUUUCCCCAUCCAUAGGUAUGGAUGAGUAAACCCCAUUAAGAUCUCCCAAUCUGAAUGUUCCUGUCAUUUCUUUUGGUGUGUUGGGUACCUUCUGUGACUGUUAUUUAUUUAUUUAUUUACAGUAUUUAUAUUCCGUCCUUCUCACGCCGAAGGGGACUCAGGGCGGAUUACAAUGAACACAUAUAUGGCAAACAUUCAAUGCCAACAGACAAACAACAUACAGUAUAGACAGACACAGAGGCAUUUAACAUUUUUCCAGCUUCACGAUUCCGGCCACAGGGGGAGCUGUUGCUUCACCGUCCACUAGUGGCUGUACUUCCUCAUUCCUUUCCUCGUGUUUUGCUGCCAGUUUUAUGGUGUUGUAAAUUAGUCAAAUUAGCUUCCCGCAUAAAGCGUACCUAAAUUUCCCUACUUGACAGAUGCAACUUCUUUCAGGGCUGCAUAGGUCAACAGCAAGCCGGGCUAUUUAAUGGUCAGGGGCUUAACCCGACUCGGGCUUUGAACUCAUGACCUCUCGGUCAGUAGUGAUUUAUUGCAGCUGGUUACUAGCCAGCUGCGCCACAGCCCGGCUGGCAGUAAAGUAAUGUUAGGGGGUAGGAUUCUCCUUCUCACCUCUCCCCUUCACUAUUCCCAAGCUGACUGUUGUCUUUUUAUUUUGUACAUGGCUUUAUCUUUUUUGUUUUUAAUGUGAAAAUUGCACAAUUGUGAUAACAAUAAUAAAAAUAAAUUAAAGAACAGCAGUAAUACAGGAAAGUGAAGUUAUGAGUGUGUGUAGAAGUGUGAUCAUGGCACCCAGAAAUGGCAAAUCAGCACAAUUCAACUAAUGAAGAAAGUUGAACAUCGAGGGUGCUCAAUGCCAAGUGUAUCUGUUAUCAAUAAUGGGGCUAUAGUGGAGUAUAGGUUUUACGUGAUAUAGUUUAUACCAAUAGUUCUCAACCUGUGGGUCCUUGGGUGUUUUGGCCUACAACUCCUAGAUAUCCCAGCCAGUUUGCCAGCUUUUAGGAUUUCUGGCAGUUGAAGGCCAAAACAUCUGGGGACCCACAGGUUGAGAACUACCGGUCUAUACCGUCAUUAACUAUGCUUCCCUAGAUAGUAAUGGCCAGCCUAGGCUCUCUUGGGCAGGUCUUGAAGAUUAAAGUGGGCCAAGUGGCUGUAGCUGUGGCUUUGUAGAGCUUGAUAGGAGCACAGUGCAGAGCACCCCAAUUGAUUUAGGCCCUUCAGCACACAGACUGAUGCCAGUAGUUAGCAUAAUACUGUUGUGUUUUAAUUAUUUUAGUUAAAGUCCAGCGAAACUACCUAUAUGCCUAUCUAGCUAUAAAUAUAAAUUGCAUUGUUUCUUUCACAGUGGAAUUCAAGAUGGGGUUAUCAGGUGAUUUGUUUUUCUGGGAAUUUACCAGUGUCCAAACUACUCAAUUCCAUAUGUCUUCUUAUUUUUGAUGGUGUGGGUUUUCAGGUUGUUUCCAAAUUUUGGUAAUUCUAAAGUGAAUUUAUCAUGGGGUUUUCUUGGAAAGAUUUUUUUCAAUGUGUUUGUUAUUAUCUUCCUCUGAGACUAAGGACCACAUCCAAUUGGGGGGGGGGGUCUUCUUAUUGUUUCUCUUCACUUUAAAGAUGGAGUUCCAUUGGGGUCAUAAACUGAUGCAGAACUGCUUCAGUUUGCUUGGAUUUUGUCUUUUAAGUGAAGAGAAACGGAGCCUUGUGAAGUUGGGGAACAAUUGACUUUACUGUUUUCACUUCACAUAAAAACAGCUGAAAAUGGGCAUCUGAAGGUGGGAUGGAAUUGUUGAAUGUGAAGGUGGGAUGGGAAUUAUGGUUAAGUUCUUUUAAUUUAAAAAUGGAAGGCCCAUACUUAGGAGACGAUUUCCCCCCACUUCCCCCCAUCCUCAUGGGACGAGGUCCUAAGAAAAUGUGGCUUGCCCAAGGUCAACCAGUGCAUUUCCAUAACCAAGCAGGGGCUCAAGCCUAGUGUCCUGAAGUCUUAGUGUUGUUGACUAAACUAUUUGGCUUAUGCCUUUGCCUUUACUGAGAAUGGACAUGUCUUAAAUUAUCCAGAUGUUUGGUAGCAUUUUAAAUUUACAAAAUGUGGGUUUGGAAAGCACAGGUCACCAUUUUGCCUUGUAAAAUUACAGUAAAUGUUCAAGCUGCAAAUGAGAUGAAUUAAGAUUCUUUGGUGUCCUCUCUAGAGAAUUCAAACAAUAAAGUUAACCGAAAAAUAUGCAAAUUGGUAUUUUCACACUACUCCUGCUCUAAUCCUUUUGAAUUGAGAUUUUUCAAUGUUCUGUUGAAGUGUCUAUAGAAUAUGAUGCAAAGUCUGAUAAUAGCGGCUGCAAAAUUAAUCACAAAUGAUUAAAUCUUGUUUCAGCAUGACUAAAUGAUGUGAUGUGUGUGGUUAUCACAUGAAUAGGUUGCAGCUCAGUGGGAGCAGAAGACUACUUAGUUGAAGAGAUACAUGAUAUUUUUGUUAAAGGGUCAGAAUUGAAAAGUGAGCUCAGAACCAGAGGGAUUUGUUGAUAUUAAUAUGCUAGAAAGAACUGUAGCAUGAAGGCAUUUGUUUUAUUAAUGGAACAUGCCUGAAAGUUCACUUAAACUGUUACUCAUUGUACAUUUCUUCUUCAGCCACUUAACUAUUUAGCAAUUAUAUUUUUGAAAGUUGUUCUGAAUUUUGGGUUGCUUAAGUUUUUCAGGAGAAAUUUAAUACAUAUGUGUGGUAUAAGGAGCAACAGAGAAAGAGGUGCUGCCUAAAUGUUUACAUUUUUCUUCUGAUCUGUAGCUUUCAGUCCCAUGCUUCAGAUCCAUAUUUUCUACAGAGUCAUCCCAAAAAUUUAUAAUCUUUUACUCAGUAUGAAAUCGUGAUUUCAUCGUAAUGGGGUUCUGUAUGAAGCAACAGAAAACCACCCCCUUUUACAGCAGAAACACUCCCCCUCUGGUUAAGGAUACAUACACAACUUGUCUUUGUAGUAGAUACAACUUUAUACAAGGAAUAUUUACAGUAUAGCAGAAGACCGAGACUCUUCUCAAGUUCUUCUUCCAGACACUCCCAAAUAGUUGAAACCUUCUUACUUGCAAAAUGCUCUCACUGGUUUUCAAUUCCUUAGAGAAGAGUUAGAUCAUCACCACUAGGGACCUCUUCACAUGUAGAAUUUUGUCCUAUUUUGCCAAUUUUAAUCAUGUCAAGGAUGGGGCCUGCUGGGUGCUAUCACAUGAUGCAUGGCAGGCCCCAUCCCCAUUUCUACCAAAGUGGAGGAGAAGCGCCACUACGGGGAAGAAAGUGUAGUUUAGGUAGCUCAAACGGAGCUAUCCAUACUUUCCUCCCCUUUUUGCCAUGUGAUUGCAGAAAGGGCAAUGGGGAAUCACACGUGUGCUUGCCACCCUUUCUGCCAUCCAUGUGAUGAGGGGAGGAGGAAAGGUUCAUGGGGUACCACAAGCUGCCCCACAAUCUUUCCCCUUUACUGGCAAUUGCCAGUGCAAUGAAAUUUAUUUAUUUAUUUAUUUACAGCAUUUAUAUUCCGCCCUUCUCACCCCGAAGGGGACUCAGGGCGGAUCACAUUACACAUAUAGGCAAA